UACGUAGGGGCCGAGCGUUGUCCGGAUUUAUUGGGCGUAAAGCGCUCGCAGGCGGCUUGGCGCGCCCGACGUGAAAGCCCCCGGCUUAACCGGGGAGGGUCGUCGGGUACGGCCAGGCUUGAGGGCGGGAGAGGGUGGUGGAAUUCCCGGUGUAGUGGUGAAAUGCGUAGAGAUCGGGAGGAACACCUGUGGCGAAGGCGGCCACCUGGGCCGACCCUGACGCUGAGGCGCGAAGGCGUGGGGAGCGAACGGG
rnacentral:rRNA from 1 species